CCAAAAUUUGAAGCAAUUAAAACCUGCUUCUUAAAAUCUGAUUCUGAUUUUGAACUCAAAUUUUAAAUUUAAAUUUAAAUUUUAAACUCAAAAUUUUAAUUUUAAUUUAAUUUUAAAUUUAAAAAUUUUAAUUUUAAUUUAAAUUUUAAAGUUUAAAUUUUGAAUUUUAAAUUGUAAAUUUAGAUUUCAAUUUUUAAAAUUUAAAAUUUUAAUUUUUAAAAUUUUAAAAUUUAAAAUAAAAUUUAAAAUUUAAAUUUAAAAUUCAAAAUUAGAUUUUAAAUUCUGCUUAAGACUUUACAAUUUAAAAUUUAAAAUUUUUAAAGUCAAUUUAAAUUUUGAAAUAAAAUUUUAGCAAACAAUAUUAUUAUUUGUAAAAAGCAAAUUUUUUUACCAAAGCUUUAUAAACUCGCUUUAGGCUUCGUUCUAAAGCUUCGUUUGGGAUUGCGGGGAGAUUGCGGAGAGAUUACGUUACAUGUGGUGAGAAAGUACGUUGAAAAAAUAUGUUUUCGUACGUAAUAUUACGUUCCGCAUAUCGCAAUGAGUCGGUUACGAUAUAUUUUCUGCGGUUCCACCGGAGAACGCAGAAGCAUAUCCCUAUAUGCUUUUUCCUCAACUCCAUUUUAUCUAAUAGUAUUAAAUAGGCCUCAAAAUCAAACUAAGACUUAGAAAAAACACUUUUUUGCUACAUUCUGCUAAAUGUUCUAUAGGUUUUACUGAAAUUCAAUUUCGCGAAUAAAAAUCAAUUCUAUAGAAAUUACUAGACGA
rnacentral:lncRNA from 1 species